GCCUAGGGUAGCCUAGUGGACAUGACAUCUGCCCGGUAAGCGGAACAUUGUGGGUUCGAUUCCCAUCCCUGGAUA
rnacentral:tRNA from 1 species